GUACUCGCGUCAGCAGCACAUAUACUGAAGUUGGAACGAUAAAGAGAUCAGCGUGGCUCCUGCACAAGGAUGACAUGCAAAUCUGUGAAGCAUUCCUUAUUUUA